rnacentral:rRNA from 1 species
GGGUAAUCUACCCUUCGGUGGGGGACAACAAUUCGAAAGGAUUGCUAAUACCGCAUACGUCACCAGAGUUUGCGAACUCUGGCGGGAAAGGUGCCUUUCGGGGUGCCGCCGAUUGAGGAGCCCGCGUCGCAUCAGCUUGUUGGUGGGGUAAUGGCCUACCAAGGCAUAGGCGCGUAGCUGGUCUGAGAGGAUGAUCAGCCACACUGGGACUGAGACACGGCCCAG